CCCGCGGCCCUUGCCCGUUUCCAGUAUGGCCGCCCGCCGUGCCUGACCCGCGGCCUCUCCGUUCCGGCUCUUCGUAGGCGAUGCCGAUGCCGAGACUGUGACUGACACUCUCGCUCCCACGCACGCACCGACCCAGACCCACGCCGGGAGCCCGAGCUCUGGGCCCACAACCGCUCUCUCCUCGGGCACCGCGGCCAUAGCCCGGACCACGGCUCCCGCGCCGCUGCCGUCGCCUCGCGGAGAAGGGUCGCGCAGGACCUCGAGCUCGGCGGCCCCCGGCCCGCCAGGAUGGGGAAGCGGGCGGGAGGAGCAGCCGCCGCCGCCGCCGCCGCCUCCACGUCCUCCGCGGCCGGGCUGGAGCCCGCGGCUGGCCGAGGCGGGGGUCCUCGGAGCGCAGCCGCGGGCCUCCUGGGAGCGCUGCACCUGGUGAUGACCCUCGUGGUGGCCGCGGCGCGGGCCGAGAAGGAAGCAUUCAUUCAGUCGGAGAGCAUAAUAGAAGUCCUGCGCUUUGACGACGGAGGGCUACUACAGACUGAGACAACACUUGGCCUCGGUUCAUAUCAACAGAAAAGCAUUUCUCUGUACCGGGGUAAUUGCAGGCCCAUACGAUUCGAACCGCCCAUGCUGGAUUUCCAUGAGCAGCCAGUUGGAAUGCCAAAAAUGGAAAAAGUCUACUUACAUAACCCUAGUUCUGAAGAAACGAUUACUUUAGUAUCAAUAUCUGCUACCACAUCACAUUUCCAUGCAUCGUUUUUUCAAAAUAGGAAAAUUCUUCCAGGAGGAAACACAUCAUUUGAUGUAGUUUUUCUUGCAAGAGUAGUAGGAAAUGUAGAAAAUACUUUAUUUAUUAACACAUCUAACCAUGGGGUGUUCACUUACCAGGUAUUUGGUGUUGGGGUUCCAAAUCCGUAUCGAUUAAGGCCAUUUCUUGGGGCCAGAGUCCCCGUAAACAGCAGCUUUUCACCCAUAAUAAACAUACACAAUCCUCACAGUGAGCCUUUACAGGUCGUAGAGAUGUACUCGAGUGGAGGUGACCUUCACCUAGAGCUCCCAACAGGUCAGCAAGGAGGCACCAGGAAGCUGUGGGAAAUCCCUCCUUAUGAAACCAAGGGAGUGAUGAGAGCCAGCUUUUCCUCCAGAGAAGCAGACAAUCACACAGCCUUCAUCCGGAUAAAGACGAAUGCAUCAGACAGCACCGAGUUCAUCAUUCUCCCGGUUGAGGUUGAAGUUACAACAGCUCCUGGAAUCUAUUCCUCAACUGAAAUGUUAGAUUUUGGAACACUUAGAACACAAGAUCUACCAAAGGUUUUAAAUCUUCAUUUACUAAAUUCAGGAACAAAGGAUGUACCAAUAACAAGUGUUCGACCAACACCACAAAAUGACGCUAUCACGGUACAUUUUAAACCAGUUACGUUAAAAGCUUCUGAAAGUAAAUAUACCAAGGUUGCCAGCAUUAGUUUUGAUGCUUCGAGAGCAAAAAAGCCAUCUCAAUUUUCUGGGAAAAUAACUGUUAAAGCAAAGGAAAAGAGUUAUUCUAAACUCGAAAUCCCCUACCAAGCAGAAGUUCUAGAUGGUUAUUUGGGGUUUGAUCACGCCGCCACGCUGUUUCACAUCCAGGACAGUCCUGCUGACCCAGUGGAGAGGCCGAUCUACCUGACGAACACUUUCAGUUUUGCGAUCCUCAUUCAUGAUGUGCUGUUACCAGAAGAAGCCAGAAUAAUGUUUCAGGUGCACAACUUCAGCCAGCCGGUUCUCAUUCUUCCUAAUGAGUCGGGAUACAUUUUUACCCUGUUUUUUAUGCCAUCCACCUCAUCCAUGCACAUAGACAACAACAUUUUACUUGUUACCAAUGCUUCUAAGUUUCAUUUACCUGUGCGGGUAUACACAGGCUUUUUAGAUUACUUUGUAUUGCCCCCCAAAAUAGAAGAACGCUUCAUAGAUUUUGGAGUACUGAGUGCUACAGAAGCAAGUAGUAUUUUAUUUGCAAUUAUAAACAGCAAUCCAAUUGAGCUGGCAAUAAAAAGUUGGCAUAUCAUAGGAGAUGGCUUAUCAAUAGAACUUGUAGCUACAGAGAGAGGCAACAGAAGCACGGUGAUUGCAAGCCUUCCAGAACUGGAGCGGUCCUCUUUGCCCGACCAGUCCCCGGUAACAUUAGCUUCAGGACACUUUGCAGUGUUCAGAGUCAAACUUACUGCCAAGAAGCUAGAAGGGGUCCAUGAUGGGGCCAUACAGAUCACAACCGACUACGAGAUCCUGACCAUCCCUGUGAAAGCUGUGAUCGCCGUGGGCUCGCUGACCUGCUUCCCCAAGCACAUGGUUCUUCCCCCUUCCUUCCCAGGGAAAAUAGUUCAUCAGAGCUUAAAUAUUAUGAAUUCCUUCUCACAGAAGGUGAAGAUACAGCAAAUAAGGUCUUUGUCAGAAGACGUACGAUUCUACUACAAACGAUUACGGGGUAAUAGGGAAGACUUGGAGCCAGGGAAGAAGUCUAAGAUUGCAAACAUUUAUUUUGACCCUGGGCUGCAGUGUGGGGAUCACUGCUAUAUCGGCUUGCCUUUCCUAUCCAAAUCUGAACCCAAAGUACAGCCUGGGGUGGCCAUGCAGGAGGACUUGUGGGAUGCCGACUGGGACGCACAUCAGAGCUUGUUCAAGGCUUGGAUGGGGAUAAAGGAAAACGCAGGACAUAGGUUGAAUGCUAUGUUUGAAGUAAAUACAGAUCUUCAGAAAAAUAUCGUAUCAAAAGUCAGUGCCGAGCUCUCCUGGCCGUCUGUCCUUAGCUCGCCCCGGCUCCUGAAGUUCCCACUCACUAACACAAACUGUUCUUCGGAAGAAGAGAUUAGCUUAGAAAACCCUGCAGACGUCCCUGUCUACGUCCAGUUCAUCCCACUGGCUUUGUAUUCCAACCCCUCCGUCUUUGCAGAUAAGUUAGUCUCAAGGUUUAACUUGAGUAAGGUGGCCAAGCUAGAUUUGAGAACACUUGAAUUCCAAGUCUACAGGAACAGCGCUCAUCCACUGCAAAGUCCAACAGGAUUUACAGAGGGUCUCUCUCGGCAUUUCAUUUUAAACCUCAUUUUAAAACCUGGAGAAAAGAAAUCUGUCAAAGUAAAGUUCACUCCACUCCACAACAGAACUGUGUCUUCCCUGAUCAUAGUCAGAAACAACCUGACUGUGAUGGACGCUGUGAUGGUUCAAGGUCAAGGGACAACGGAGAACUUGAGGGUGGCAGGCAAGCUUCCAGGUCCAGGAAGCUCCUUACGCUUCAAAAUCACAGAAGCAUUGUUAAAGGAUUGCAUAGACCGUUUGAAACUAAGAGAACCAAAUUUCACAUUGAAAAGAACAUUCAAAGUAGAGAAUACGGGACAACUUGAAAUCCGUGUAGAAACCAUUGAGAUCAGUGGAUAUGCGUGUGAGGGAUAUGGUUUUAAAGUGGUUAACUGUCAAGAGUUUGCCCUGAGUGCCAACGCCUCCAGAGACAUAGUCAUAUUGUUUACUCCAGAUUUCACAGCCUCCAGAGUCAUUCGGGAGCUGAAGUUUGUGACAAGCAGUGGCUCCGAGUUUGUGUUUGUGUUGAAUGCCUCUCUUCCGUACCACAUGCUAGCCGCCUGUGCAGAAGCCCUCCCUAGACCCAACUGGGAGCUCGCGCUCUACAUCAUCAUCUCCGGGGUCAUGAGUGCACUCUUUCUCCUGGUCAUUGGAACAGCCUACUUGGAAGCUCAAGGGAUUUGGGAGCCCUUCCGAAGGCGACUCUCCUUUGAAGCCUCAAACCCGCCCUUUGAUGUAGGAAGGCCAUUUGAUCUCAGGAGAAUCGUUGGUAUUUCAUCUGAAGGAAACUUGAACACACUUGGCUGCGAACACAGUCAUGGUAGGGGUUUCUAUAGUAACGCAUCAUCCCGGCCUGGUACAGGCAGUCACAGGCAGUGUGGCACAUCAGUCCACCCACACAGCAGCCAUGGCAGCAAAAACUCAGCUGAUGUGGACAACGUCAGAACCAGAAACAGUUCAAGUAUGUCAAGCAGGACUUCUCCACAAGCAGCUGCCUCACAGUCUACAAGCAAAACCAGCCCCCUAGUCUCAGAGACAGCUGCAGCAACCCAGGGUCACACAGCAAGCAGGAAGUCCAGAGGGGCAAAGCAGGGCCAGCACAGCAGCCAGCACCACAGCCACAGCCACAGCCCACUGGAGCAGCACUCACAGCCUCCACCACCAGUGCCUCAGCACCAGGAGCCACCACCCGAAAGGCUGUCUCCUGCCCCCCUCACACACCCUUCCCACCCCGAGCGAGCCAGCACCACACGGCACAGCUCAGAGGACUCCGACAUCACCAGUCUCAUAGAAGCCAUGGACAAAGACUUUGACCACCACGACUCCUCCCCCCUAGACGUGUUUACAGAGCAGCCUCCGUCACCGAUGUCAAAAAGCAAAGGGAAAGGAAAGUCUCUCCAACAACGUAAGGCCAAGCCUCCGAAGAAGCAGGAGGAGAAGGAGAAGAGGGGGAAGGGGAAGCCGCAGGAGGAUGAGCUGAAGGACGCUCUGGCCGACGACGACAGCUCCUCCACCACCACAGAGACCUCCAACCCCGACACAGAGCCACUCCUCAGGGAGGAUACAGAGAAGCACAAGGGGAGACCAGCCGUGCCUGAAAAACAGGAAAGUGAACUGUCUCAAGGGAAGCCCAAGAGCAAAAAGCUCUUAAACGCUAAGAAAGAAAUCCCAACAGAUGUGAAAGGCAGUUCCUUUGAACUACCGUACACUCCCUCACUGGAAAAUAAACAGCGUAGAAAUCUCCCAACCAAGAUUCCUCUUCCAACUACACUAGCAAGUGGAUCCAAAUCACGAAAUCCCCCGAAAACAAAAGGUACAAAUAAGUUAGUGGAAAACAGGCCAGUUGCCCUCUCAAAGUUCCUCCCCAGCAGUCAAGAACUAGGUAAUACCAGCAGCUCAGAGGGUGAAAAGGAUUCUCCUCCACCAGAAUGGGAUGCUGUGCCAGUUCACAAGCCCAGCAGCUCUACUGACAGUCUUUAUAAACUGUCUCUGCAAACCCUCAAUGCAGACAUUUUCUUAAAACAACGCCAGACCUCGCCAACACCUGCCUCUCCUUCUCUGCCCACCGCUCCCUGCCCGUUCACAUCUCGUGGCAGCUACAGCAGCGUUGUCAACAGCUCCGGCAGGUACCUGACCCCAGCACUGACCUUAUCCUGUCUGUGAACAAGUCUGUUACUGUGUUCUUGAGCUGUGUGGCAAGCAUCCCACGACGGAGCGCUUCACCUAAAGUGUUGAGUGGAGUGCAUGAGCAGGCUGUGACAUCUGUGUCACUGCCAUGUUACAUGUUGUAGAGUGACACACUCCUCCCUCGGUGCCAGCAGGCUUAGUAUCACACAGGCACCAUGUCCUCCAGACAGGCUCCUGUAGAGAAGUCAGGAAGCUAUGACCGACUGGGUGAAGGGGGUUUACUGACUGGGGACCCCCACUGUAACCAUGUCUAGGGGACGGAGCCCUGAUGAAUGGACUUGUCCCACCAGCCCCACCAUUGGCUGAUAUUCUCACAGGUUUCUUUGCCAAGGGGGCACCUUCAGGUUCUUCAAAAUGUGGUCUCCACCUUUCCCCAGUCCCUAAAUUGGGGUACCUCCCUCAGUCUCCUUCCUCAAUUUCCCAGAAACCCCUCAUUUUUCAUAUGGUUAAGCUCUCUUGGACCCCAGAACACUUUCACAGGGCUCCUCUGUGCUCUGAGCCAUCCUGGACUCUUCCACUGUCGGCACCACCAGUGAGGGGCAGUUCUUUCCUUCUUGCUGUAGUGACACAAAAGCCAAGCAGACGAGCAGCAGCAAGAGCAAGCUGACAAAGGCGGCCUCGCUCCCCGGCAAGAAUGGCAACCCUACCUUCGCCGCCGUCGCUGCAGGCUAUGACAAGAGCCCGGGUGGGAAUGGAUUUGCUAAAAUUUCUUCAAACAAAUCAGAUUUUUCCAGCAGCCUUGGCAUUUCACACAUUCCUGUUGACAGCGAUGGCUCUGACAGCUCGGGUUUGUGGAGUCCUGUCAGCAACCCCAACAGCCCUGACUUCACCCCCCUCAAUUCGUUCUCAGCCUUUGGAAAUUCUUUUAAUCUAACAGGUGCAGUUUUCAGCAAACUGUCGCGAUCCUGCAGUCAGUCGUCCCAGAGAAGUUGGAAUGAGUUCAACAGCGGCCCCUCCUACCUUUGGGAUUCUCCAGCCACAGACCCCAGCCCUUCCUGGCCGGCCAGUUCCAGCUCCCCAACCCACACAGCCACUUCCAUCCUUGGCAACAGCAGCGGCUUGUGGUCCACCACUCCAUUCAGCAGCUCCAUCUGGUCCAGCAACAUCAACAGCAACCUUCCUUUCUCCACUCCAACAAACGCGCUGUCGAGCAUCAGCCUCAUGGGCACGGAAAACUCUGCCGCCGCCCACACCCCUUCCGCCUCUGGCCCAGCUGACGACUUGGGACAGACCUACAACCCCUGGCGGAUCUGGAGCCCCACAGUCGGAAGAAGAAGCUCUGACCCUUGGUCUAAUUCGCACUUCCCUCAUGAAAAUUAAAAUUAAGCAAAAAACGAAGUGGGGGCCCCUCAUCUAGAUCAUGAUAUGCCAGUUUCCAAGACAUCUUCUGAAGGCCCUCACUGCCUCAAGCCCUCUCCCCUCCUCGCAGGGCAGGCUUGGUGCACUGGCUUCUCUCACAUCUUUCUUGCAAUUAUGAUACUCUGAGAUUUGCUGUUGUGCUUAAAGACAAAAGUCUGGACUCAGCCACAAACUACUACAGCCUGUCCACCUGAAAUCUUGACUUACCCAGUCCCCACCUGUCUCUUCCUGCCUUCUUUAUCUGUAAGAACACAAAUUUGGCAUUACAGUUAAGGGAGUGAUUUGAAUUGAUUGACAAGUCCUGGCAUGUGACAAUUUUACUAAAUUACCAAGUUUGGUUUUUAAUAAUUUCACAAUAUUAUGCGCCAAGAUCUAAUUUUAAAAAUGUACGAGGACUUUGUGCUGAAAAUACAGAGUAUUUUUUUAAAGUAAGGCUGUCUUGGCUUAAAAGCAGAUUACAGAAAUGUAAGCCAGCGUAAGAGCAGUGGCUGGAUGUAAAGCGCCCAGCAGGAACCACAGGCACUCUGUGCUGUUUGUACUUGAGGUAUGUACCAUUUGUAUACCUGAAUUUAUUUUAAAGAUAAACUGAAAUGCACAUAGCCAAGUCUUGACAUUACAAGAUUGUGUAUUUCUUAAAAUACAACUUUGUGUUGUACUUUGAAAUAAAUGAUGCUUUUUUUCAAAAGCC